UACGUAGGGUGCGAGCGUUGUCCGGAAUUACUGGGCGUAAAGAGCUCGUAGGUGGUUUGUCGCGUUGUUCGUGAAAACUCACAGCUUAACUGUGGGCGUGCGGGCGAUACGGGCAGACUGGAGUACUGCAGGGGAGACUGGAAUUCCUGGUGUAGCGGUGAAUGCGUAGAGUAUCAGGAGGAACACCCGUGGCGAAGGCGGGCCUCUGG
rnacentral:rRNA from 1 species